rnacentral:rRNA from 1 species
AUGACAUUACCAAAUACACUCAUGCCAGUAGAUCAGAUAUUUGAGUUUGUUAGAGCUGCAGAUUGCUAUCCAAACGUCUCAAUUGCUUACCGAAUUCUCUUAACUGUACCUGUGACGGUAGCAUCAGCCGAACGAAGUUUUUCAAAAUUGAAGUUGUUGAAAAAUUAUUUGAGGUCAACUAUGUCGCAAGAAAGAUUGAAUGGAUUGGCAAUAUGUUGUAUUGAGAAGGAUGUGUUGGAUAACAUUGAUCUUGAUACUGUCAUUAAUGAUUUUGCAUCAAAAAAUGAACGAAGGAACCGUUUCUCAUGA